CUGUUUUUGCUGAGAAACAGGCUCCUCAUGCAGAAGGCAGCAUGGAGAUGUAAUCAGAUGCCAUCUUCUCUGAAUUAUCAGGCUGGAACGCCUUUUCACCACAUGUUCAUGGAGACAAUUAAACAAGCUGCAACUAAACUCCAGGGUCUUCAUUUGUGGUUUAACUCGGUGUCACCAACAUCCUCGUUGAAAACACUACAAGUAUAUAGUAUAUACUAUACUAGUGUAUAUGCACACUGCAAAAAACAUGGGAAAGAAGAAGCUGAGGUUAUUUUGUCUCUGCCCUUGCUUUUGCUUCCUAUAUCACCUUUCCACAUACAGUGUGUGAACACCAACAGGUGAUUGGCUAUUUUGAAGAAUUUAAAACAUGCUUUGAGUUAGUUCACACUUUUUGUUUACUACUUAAUUCCAUAUGUAUUCAUUCAUAGUUUUGAUUCCUUCAGUGAGAAACUACAAUGUAAAUAGUCAUGAAAAUAAAGAAAAACCUUUAAAUGAGACUGUUAGUGUAUACAUAGAUGGCGUAAUAUUUCUGCAUUCCUGUGUUUGUAAAAUAAAUUAAAAACAAAAAAAAUCUGCACACUGAAAAAAACGUGGGAAAGAAGAAGCUGAGGUUAUGUUGUCUCUACUCUUUGUUUUACUUCCUUUAUCACCUUUCCACAUACAGUUUGUGAACACCGACUGAUAUGUAGUAUCAGUCAUUUCUGUUAUUUAACUGUAUGAACACACUCUGAACACCAAGAAGACAUGGAAGCUGUGCUUGGAUUGAUAGUGAUGUUGCUGGGAUUGUCUCAUGGUGUGGAAACUUACUGUGAUGGCAGACAGGAUGGAGCUCAGUGUUAUGGAGCUUUGGGAGGAAGUGUGGAGAUCAAGCUGAUGAACAGCACCUCAAAAAUACCUCGAUACCAACUGUUAAAGAAUUCAUUAAAAAUACUAGAUGUGAGAAAGAAAAAGAUUCUUUCUAAUAUCAUACAAAAUAGGUCUCUCUUUUUUCCCAGUAAUGGAACAUUUAGGCUCAAUUACCUGAGCAGGAAUGACAGUGGUAAUUAUAGCCUUAUAACAUUUAAUUCAGAUGGAAAAGCAUCAGACGAGCAGACUCUACACUUGUUUGUUCAAGCUCCUGUGUCCUCUGUCCUGCUGGUCUCUGAGUGUCUGUCCCAGGGAGAGAGGAGGGUGUCCUGCUCCUCUGAGGGAGGGGACAGUCCUCAGUACAGCUGGACUCUGGAUGGACGCACACUGACAGAUGCUGAGCUCCUUUCUGUAAAUAAUGAGACUAACAUCAUCAUUCUGAAACAGCACGUCUCAGGACGUCUGGUCUGCUCAGUGAGGAACAACGUCAGUGAUGCCUUCAAAGUACAGAAGAUAUCUACCUGUGGUGUGGGAACUUACUGUGAUGGCAGACAGGAUGGAGCUCAGUGUUAUGGAGCUUUGGGAGGAAGUGUGGAGAUCAAGCUGAUGAACAGCACCUCAAAAAUACCUCGAUACCAUUUGUUAAAGAAUUCAUUAAAAAUACUAGAUGUGAGAAAGAAAAAGAUUCUUUCUAAUAUCAUAGAACAUAAAUUUCUCUUUUUUCCCAGUAAUGGAACAUUUAGGCUCAAUUAUCUGAGCAGGACAGACAGUGGUAAUUAUAGCCUAAAAACCUUUGAUUCGGAUGGAAAAGCAUCAGACGAGCAGACUCUACACUUGUUUGUUCAAGCUCCUGUGUCCUCUGUCCUGCUGGUCUCUGAGUGUCUGUCCCAGGAAGAGAGGAGGGUGUCCUGCUCCUCUGAGGGAGGGGACAGUCCUCAGUACAGCUGGACUCUGGAUGGACGCACACUGACAGAUGCUGAGCUCCUUUCUGGAAAUAAUGAGACUAACGUUAUCACUCUGAAACAGCACGUCUCAGGACGUCUGGUCUGCUCAGUCAGGAACAACGUCACUAACGUUUUCAUAGAACACAGGAUGUCUACCUGUGCUCCAUCAGUGGGAUACAGACAUCAGGAUAAGUCCUUGCUUAUAUGCGGUUUGCGAGCAGUUGUGGUAAUUCUCUUGCUAAUUGGGAUUUACAUCUACUUCGCUUGGAAAAAAAAGAAACAUGCCAAAGCUGAAGUCUCUGCUGUCCCACAAACAAGAGGAGAUCCAGAAGACUCUGUUCUGAUGGUUGAAAUGAGUUCUGCAACUUACACCAACACCUAGUGUCACCUUUUACUUGCUGUUGUUUUUGUCAUUGGUUCACAAGCAUGAAAAUAACAUUUAGAGAGAAAUUCUUGUUUCACAGACAGCUCAUAUUGAAUUAUGAUGAGAAGCUCUGUGGUUUCUGGGUUUUACAUUUUUAAUACAAAUCUUUACAAUUCUUAAACAAUAAAGUCUUGAAUUAAG
ensembl:lncRNA